UACGAAGGGGGCUAGCGUUGCUCGGAAUCACUGGGCGUAAAGCGCACGUAGGCGGAUUGCUAAGUCAGGGGUGAAAUCCUGGAGCUCAACUCCAGAACUGCCUUUGAUACUGGCGAACUUGAGUCCGGGAGAGGUGAGUGGAACUGCGAGUGUAGAGGUGAAAUUCGUAGAUAUUCGCAAGAACACCAGUGGCGAAGGCGGCUCACUGGCCCGGUACUGACGCUGAGGUGCGAAAGCGUGGGGAGCAAACAGG
rnacentral:rRNA from 1 species